UACAGAGGGUGCGAGCGUUAAUCGGAAUUACUGGGCGUAAAGCGCACGUAGGCGGCUUUGCAAGUCGGAUGUGAAAUCCCCGGGCUUAACCUGGGAACUGCAUUCGAGACUGCAUUACUAGAGUAUGGGAGAGAGAGGCGGAAUUUCCGGUGUAGCGGUGAAAUGCGUAGAUAUCGGAAGGAACAUCAGUGGCGAAAGCGGCCUCUUGGACCAAUACUGACGCUCAUGUGCGAAAGCGUGGGGAGCAAACAGG
rnacentral:rRNA from 1 species